rnacentral:snRNA from 1 species
GUAGAGAAGAUUAGCACAGUCCCUGAGCAAGGAUGACACGCAAAUUUGUGAAACAUUCCAUAUAUAU